CGUGCGCAGAGCCGUGCGCCGGGCCGUUCGUCCCCGUUCUUUAGUCUGGGAACUGAGGGCCAGGGGCUUAAUGUCGGCCCCGGAGAAAGGAGCGGGUUCGGUGUCCUCGCACCCAUAACUAGCAGGCUCUUCUCCGAGGCUUGGCCCACUGCGGGCGUGUGAGACUGAGGGAGAGGCGAGGCCCAGGCGGAAAGGUUGAUGAUGAACCAGUUAGCCACACCAACUGGGCUGAAAGACAUCUUGAUUGCAACCUACUGGGAGAUCCAGAGCCAGAACAAUCAUCAACUAAGCUGAUCCUAUAUUCUACAGAUACUAUAGGGACAGCUUGCUAAUUCAAGCUGAAGCAUUCAAGCUAAGGAGGUUAACAAAGGCCCAGAAGACAAAAAUUAAGCAAAGCAAAUAGUUCUUGAAACCCCAAUUUAAAAAUAAAGCAGCAGCAAAGAAAUCAGAAAAAGACACAUGACAGCAUAUGAGGUAUUUAUGAAAGUAUUUUUGUUUACAUAUUUAGCUUUUUUAAUUUCAUGCAUUAUGUAGCUUGUACUCUGGUUUUGAAAUUGUAAAACGUGUUUGUUGUGUCUGUUCUCUCAGUGCUUAGAAAUA